rnacentral:rRNA from 2 species
ACGAAAAAUAACGAUACGGGACUCAUCCGAGGCCCCGUAAUCGGAAUGAGUACACUCUAAACCCUUUAACGAGGAUCAAUUGGAGGGCAAGUCUGGUGCCAGCAGCCGCGGUAAUUCCAGCUCCAAUAGCGUAUAUUAAAGUUGUUGCGGUUAAAAAGCUCGUAGUCGAAUUUGUGUCCCGCGCCGCCGGUUCAUCGCUCGCGGUGUCAACUGGCGUGUCCGCGGGACGUCCUGCCGGUGGGCUUAGCCUCUCGGGGCGGCCCAAUCCCAAUCCCACCGCGGUGCUCUUCACUGAGUGUCGAGGUGGGCCGGCACGUUUACUUUGAACAAAUUAGAGUGCUUAAAGCAGGCUAAAACAUCGCCUGAAUACUGUGUGCAUGGAAUAAUGGAAUAGGACCUCGGUUCUAUUUUGUUGGUUUUCGGAACCCCGAGGUAAUGAUUAAUAGGAACGGAUGGGGGCAUUCGUAUUGCGACGUUAGAGGUGAAAUUCUUGGAUCGUCGCAAGACGGACAGAAGCGAAAGCAUUUGCCAAAAACGCUUUCAUUGAUCAAGAACGAAAGUUAGAGGUUCGAAGGCGAUCAGAUACCGCCCUAGUUCUAACCAUAAACGAUGCCAGCUAGCGAUCCGCCGACGUUCCUCCGAUGACUCGGCGGGCAGCUUCCGGGAAACCAAAGCUUCUGGGUUCCGGGGGAAGUAUGGUUGCAAAGCUGAAACUUAAAGGAAUUGACGGAAGGGCACCACCAGGAGUGGAGCCUGCGGCUUAAUUUGACUCAACACGGGAAACCUCACCAGGCCCGGACACCGGAAGGAUUGACAGAUUGAGAGC